rnacentral:rRNA from 1 species
UGGGGAAUCUUGCGCAAUGGGCGAAAGCCUGACGCAGCGACGCCGCGUGGGGGAAGAAGGCCUUAGGGUUGUAAACCUCUUUCAGCAGGGACGAAGCCACUCGGGUUAAUAGCCCAGAGGGUGACGGUACCUGCAGAAGAAGCCCCGGCUAACUACGUGCCAGCAGCCGCGGUAAUACGUAGGGGGCAAGCGUUGUCCGGAUUUAUUGGGCGUAAAGAGCGUGUAGGCGGCCGCACAGGUCCGUUGUGAAAACUGGAGGCUUAACCUUCAGACGUCGAUGGAAACCGUGCGGCUAGAGUCCGGAAGAGGAGAGUGGAAUUCCUGGUGUAGCGGUGAAAUGCGCAGAUAUCAGGAAGAACACCCGUGGCGAAGGCGGCUCUCUGGG